rnacentral:rRNA from 1 species
UACGAAGGGGGCUAGCGUUGUUCGGAAUUACUGGGCGUAAAGCGCGCGCAGGCGGUUUUUCAAGUCAGUGGUGAAAGCCCGGAGCUCAACUCCGGAAAUGCCAUUGAAACUGUAAAACUUGAGGACGAGAGAGGUGAGUGGAAUUCCCAGUGUAGAGGUGAAAUUCGUAGAUAUUGGGAAGAACACCGGUGGCGAAGGCGGCUCACUGGCUCGUUUCUGACGCUCAGGCGCGACAGCGUGGGGAUCAAACAGG